GUAUUAGAUAUGCGAUGGGUAGAUUGGCAAAUACUGCAGUAGUAGAUAUGUGAAAUGAUGAAGCCUGAACUAGAGAAGUGAUGGUAUGAAUCAAGUUGAGGAGAAGAUGAGGUAAGUUAUUACACAGGUUCAGAGAAGAGUUGGAAGCUUAUUGAACCCAGGGACCAAGUAAGAGAGAGAAGGCCCAUUUAAGACUAAAGUUUACUGGUGGGUGGAAUGAUGGUACCAUAAACUGAAAUGAAGAUCACUAGAGGAAGAGAAGAUUUCAAAUGGAAAGUAAUGAACCCCAUUUUGGAUAUACAAUUUUCCCUUGGUGUCCUUGGGGGAUUGAUUACACAAUCCUCGUGGGUACCAAAAUCCAGUGGAUGCUCAACUCUCUUAUGUAAAAUGGCAUAAUAUUUGUAUAUAACCUACACACAUCCUCCUGUAUACUUUAAAUCAUCCCUAAAUUACCUGUAAUACCUACUAUUAUGUAAAUAGUUGUUACACUGUAUGUUUAGGAAAUAAUGACAAGGAAUAAAGGUCUGUAUAUGCUUAGUACAGACACAACCAUUGAAGGCCUUUCCAUCUGUGGCUGGUUGAAUCUGCAGAUGCAGAACCUAUGGAUAUGGAGGGCUGACUGUAGCAGACUUGAAUUUCCAGAAGGAGUACAGAGGGUGGUGUCCAGCAGGUGAAUGGCAACACGUGAAGAGCAGGCUGUUUAAGAAAAAGGACUUGCAAAACUGGAAGAUGAAAGGUACUUGAUCAUAUAGAAAUCUUACAUUGUAGGCUACAGUUAGGCACAAGAUAAAUGAUAAUAUGCUAUUGCAAAAUUGGUAUAGUAGUUACACACUGUUGGGAUUGUAAUAUACAUUCAUUCAAGAAGACUUUCUUGAAAAUUUGUUUUAUUUUGAGCAUUUUUCUAGAACCUGAAGAUAUGUGGGCAGAUAAAAUACAGACUCUGGUUCAUGCAAGGAGCUCUAAUUCAUCAGGGGAAUCAGUCCGUCUAUGAAUAAUUAUAGCAGUAUACUAAAGGCUCGUAGAAAUGUGUCAGAAUGCUAGAGGGACUUAGGACUAAUUCAUCCUCUCAACAUAUUGAGGUUAUUUAGUUUGGAGGAAAUGUAUACAGGUACCCCUGGGUUUUAUCUUCUCGUUACUGCUGCUGAGAACCAAGAAAGGUUUUUUCCCGUGAUAUCAUCAGAAGUUUAAUGUUUAUUGUUUAUAUACAAAUAUCAGACCACACUUGAGGGUGACAUAUAAGGAUGUGGUUAAAGAUUUUGACCAAUGAGGAUAGUGAGUCAGUCAAGAAGAGGAAGAACCACAAAUCAUAGCAAGCUUUGGAAAAUUUUGCGAUCAUCCAAAGCACACUCAGCAUGAAAGCCUUAGAGUAGCAUUUCUCCCACCCACACACAUAUAAAAAC
rnacentral:lncRNA from 1 species